AGUGAACGCUGGCGGUAGGCCUAACACAUGCAAGUCGAACGGCAGCACAGUAAGAGCUUGCUCUUACGGGUGGCGAGUGGCGGACGGGUGAGGAAUACAUCGGAAUCUACUUUUUCGUGGGGGAUAACGUAGGGAAACUUACGCUAAUACCGCAUACGACCUACGGGUGAAAGCAGGGGAUCUUCGGACCUUGCGCGAUUGAAUGAGCCGAUGUCGGAUUAGCUAGUUGGCGGGGUAUAGGCCCACCAAGGCGACGAUCCGUAGCUGGUCUGAGGGGAUGAUCAGCCACACUGGAACUGAGACACGGUCCAGACUCCUACGGGAGGCAGCAGUGGGGAAUAUUGGACAAUGGGCGCAAGCCUGAUCCAGCCAUACCGCGUGGGUGAAGAAGGCCUUCGGGUUGUAAAGCCCUUUUGUUGGGAAAGAAAAGCAGCAGGUUAAUACCCCGCUGUUCUGACGGUACCCAAAGAAUAAGCACCGGCUAACUUCGUG
rnacentral:rRNA from 1 species